GUAUACUUGGCUGAAACCUUAGUGAACCCUAUACUAUAGGGUUAACCACACGACUGUAAAUAAUGUUGGUUCCGGUUAAGGCUGUUAAUGAGUUUUAACCGGGUCGCUGGUCAGCUUUCUGAGCUGGCAACACCCUUAGUCUGCAGGAACAUUCUUACGAACAACCUGCAGCCACACUCUAUUUCCACUGCUAAUAUGGCGGAGAGAGGCUGGCUCACAGGCUAAAUAGCGGUGGCUGCUGUCCAUGAGAUAGCAUUUCAGAUAUAGUCGCGUCCCUUGAAUUGCAUGUCGCAGGGACAGUGUUCCGUAGGUGAACCUGCGGAAGGAUCAUUA
rnacentral:rRNA from 1 species